AAAAAGCACGCCAGGCAGUGAUUUCCACUGACGUCACGCAAAUCGACGCAAGAUCCUACCUUGUAUUCAUUGUAUCAUGCCUUCCUUUCCUGUUUGAUAAUCUGUGGUCUCUGAGUCUGUUGUUUUGGAAAACAAGUCGGUUGCUCGGUUCUAUUAGUUACAGAAAUAUAUUCAACCUAUUAUUUAUCAUGCAGCAAUGCAAAGUAUUUGAUUGCUUAACGAAUACCCGAGAACGUCGCCGGCGGGCUAUUGAUUCCAUAUCAUUUUAUAAGCUUCCGAGAGAUUCGUAUUUUCGGCGAAUUUGGUUAGAAAAUUGUGGAAGAGAUGGUGAAACAAACACCGACAACUUUUACGUCUGCGAUCUUCACUUUUGCGAGGACGAUUUCGACGUGAACUAUUGUUGCUGCCACUGUGAUUGACACACGCGAUGUCAGUCAAACUUGUUAUGUGACGCGUCCACCCUGUUGAUUGUUGAAAAUGGUUUACAAUGACAUAUCAGUUUGUUUAUUCCAUAGAUAUUUGAUUUAGAAAAAAAAUGAGAAAGUGUUGCGUAAUUGGUUGUAGAACUGGUUACGAUAAUAGUACCGAAAAAUACAGUGCCUUCAAGUUUCCUAGAGACGAAAACCUGAAGAAGAAGUGGUUACUAGCGAUUGGGAGACAAAAUUUUACACCUUCAAACUAUGCAGGUGUGUGUGAGAAACAUUUUCUUGAGAAUGAUAUAGUUCGCUAUCAGAUCAGUGUAGACCCUGAAACUGGUGCGGAUGUUCUAUUUCCAACAAGGGCUCAAUUAAAGGAAGGAGUGGUACCAACGUUAAAGUUGCAUACAAAUGUCGAAGUAAAAUUAGAAACUGAGCACGGUUCAUUUGUGAGUAAAAUAUUAUGAUCAAAGAAAACUCAAAGUUUGUGCUGUACCGACAAAGAAUUUAACAAACAACAGCGACCACUUGUACAUGUCGUCCUUAGAGGCAAUUGAUGGGUCGAUUACGCAUAUUGGACCAAAUGACGAAAAUCGCCCAGAAAGUUCAAUGUCGGAAAACUCGUACAUUCACAAAGACCUAGCGAAACAGUACAGGCUCUUACAGUUGGAAUUUGAAAUUCUGCAAGAUCAAGUCAAAGAGCGCGAGUCAACUCUAGUGGCAUUAAAAAAAGAAAAUGCUUUGCUUAACGAGUUGUUAGGGACAAUUCCGACAGGUUUAUAGAUUUGCAUCAGUGCUCUAUAUAAUAUAGUAUUUUUUUAUAGACAACUACUAGUAUUUCAAAGAAUUACUCGAAAAAAUGUUCCAAUGAUGUUUCGUCCUCCGAUGAAGAUAUGCCCUUGGAAAGUCUCAGAAAUCGAUAUAUAACUUCGAAAUCAGAUCUGGGAUCACAUACGGAUUCAGACAAUGCAACUGAUAGCCAAUUGCACCGAAAAUUUAGUAAUAUGUUAACUCAAUAUGAAAAAUUAAAAGACAGGCAUGUAGCUUUAGGACAGGCAAUUGAUGUUUUGGAAAGGAUUAAUAUUGAACUGAAAUGUAAGGUAUUCAAAUAUUGAGUGGCUGUUUCAAAAUGAAAUUUUCGACUCGAAAA